UGGGGAAUCUUGCACAAUGGGGGAAACCCUGAUGCAGCCAUGCCGCGUGGAGGAAGACACCCCUAUGGGGCGUAAACUCCUUUUCUGAGAGAAGAAACCCCUGUAGGUUCAGGGUGUGACGGUAUCUCAGGAAUAAGCACCGGCUAACUCCGUGCCAGCAGCCGCGGUAAUACGGAGGGUGCAAGCGUUGUCCGGAAUCACUGGGCGUAAAGGGUGCGCAGGCGGGGCAGCAAGUCAGAUGUGAAAGCCCGCGGCUUAACCGCGGAAGUGCCUUUGAAACUGUUGCUCUUGAGUCCCGGAGAGGUUGCCGGAAUUCGUGGUGUAGCGGUGAAAUGCGUAGAUAUCACGAGGGACACCAGAGGCGAAAGCGGGCAACUGGACGGGUACUGACACUGAGGCACGAAAGCGUGGGGAGCAAACA
rnacentral:rRNA from 1 species